rnacentral:rRNA from 1 species
UAAUAGCAUAUAUUAAAGUUGUUGCAGUUAAAAAGCUCGUAGUCGGAUUUUGGGCGCGUGUGGGCUGUCGGCCUCUGGUCGGACGGCAUGCGCGUGCCUUUCUGCUUGGGAGCCCCAUGGCGGUUCACGCCGUCGUGGUGGGUCACAGGCCGUUUACUUUGAAAAAAUUAGAGUGUUCAAAGCAGGCUAUUGCUUGAAUAGAUUAGCAUGGAAUAAUGGAAUAGGACCUUGGUGCUAUUUCGUUGGUUAUGGGACUGGGGUAAUGAUUAAUAGGGACAGUUGGGGCCGUUCAUAUUUCGUUGUCAGAGGUGAAAUUCUUGGAUUUACGAACGAUGAACUUGUGCGAAAGCAUUCGGCAAGGAUGUUUUCAUUGAUCAAGAACGAAAGUUAGGGGAU